rnacentral:rRNA from 1 species
UCGAGGGGUAUAUAGUGCUUGCACGUAUAGAGACCGGCGCACGGGUGCGUAACGCGUAUGCAAUCUACCUUAUACAGGGAAUAGCCCAGGGAACUUGGAUUAAUGCCCAUAGUAUCAUUAAGUAGCAUUACUUGAUGAUUAAAGAUUUAUCGGUAUAAGAUGAGCAUGCGUCCCAUUAGUUAGUUGGUAAGGUAACGGCUUACCAAGACAGCGAUGGUAGGGGCCCUGAGAGGGGAUCCCCCACACUGGUACUGAGACACGGACCAGACUCC